AAAAUGUAAAUAAUGCACCACCUUUCUCUUUGAUGAUAACUUAUCUUCGUCUUUUUCCUCAAUUCACACUUUCAUUCAUGUACUUCUAUUAAUUUUCAAACAUGAACGCUUUUCAUUGGUUCGUGAGCGCAGAUAUCAGCGCAGGUAUCAAUCCGCGAUGAAGGAUGAGGGUAACACGUGUACAGGUGCCCAGUCCUUACCCUGCACCCGCCAUGACACGCUGUGAAGACUGUGAUCUCGGCUUGCUGGAGUUUGCUGUCAAGUACAGCGGAAAGGUUGCGAAUUUGAUUGCUGGGAAAUCAUCGCUCCUGCGAUGCAAGUCAGUGUACAAUCGAGAAGAGGACCAGCCAGGACCUUCAUCCUUUCGUUAAGAGAGGUGAAGAGCAGGACCAUCAGCCAACACCACAUCAUCCAGGGCCUGUGAGUCAACAGACCACCACUCCAUCCACCUUACUGGGUGAUCUUAGCAUUGGUGAAGGUGAUGGUGAUAUCUUGCAUGGCUAUGUUGCUGAGACGUGUCAGAUCUGAGGUCCUUUCCACGUGUCUGUUGAGUAACAUGGGCAAGGGGCGGCGGUCGAAGGGGAAACCCAUGGGCUGGGCAUCAGGGUAGAGGGCAUCCAGAAUACCACAGAAUGAUGCAGCAGCAGAACAGGAACAGGCACCAUCAGGCUGUGCCACCUGAGGAGUCCCUCAUUGACUACUGUGUGCUGUGCUGCUGUUCACUCACCUGGUUCGCCUGGGUUCGGCUGCUUCUCCAGGUCACGGAAGGUGAAGUCAUUUGAGUUUGUGAUAGAUGAGGAGGUGGAGGAACGUAGAAUGUGGUUUGGGCCAGGCUUCACUGCAAGGAUAUAAUAAUAAUGAGAGAUAUAAAGGCAUGAAAGUACUACACUUGUCACAUUUAAAGUUGCACUUACUUUGCUCUACCAGUCACUACUUCACAUAAGUGGAUCUGAUGUAACUGUCUUGUCAACUAUUCCUCAGAGAUACAAGGAUAUGCUAUAGCUGUUGUGGCCUCAGUGCUCAUCUUCUUGGUCUUGGUGAAUUAUCAAGAAUAAUGGCAGGUAAAUUAUAUUAGUGUGAUUUUGUAAAAAGCUAAUGUGGAAUUUUUUAUAGC